rnacentral:SRP_RNA from 1 species
GCCAGGCACGGUGGCGCGUGCCUGUAGUCCCAGCUACUUGGAAAGCUGAGGCUGGAGGAUCGCUUGAGUCCAGGAGUUCUGGGCUGUAGUGCACUAUGCUGAUCGGGUAUCCACACUAAGUUCAGUAUCAAUAUGGUGACCUCCCGGGAGUGGGGGACCACCAGGUCACCUAAGAAGGGGUGAACCGGCCCAGGUCGGAAAUGGAGCAGGUCAAAACUCCCGUGCUGAUCAGUAGUGGAAUCGUGCCUGUGAAUAGCCACUGCACUCCAGCCUGGGCAGCAUAGCGAGACCCCGUCUCU